rnacentral:rRNA from 1 species
GAUAGGCUGGGNCNGUGGCGGUGUGCCGCCUAAAUGCGACUGUGCUGAGUACUCCUCACUCUUGUGGAUCUUCUCUUGCUCAGAGAGNUAUNUUGUAGUGCAGCGUCUGUGUUAUCGUGCUGUUGUAUGUGUAGACUACAAGCUGACGUUUCAUAGUACGUCGGCCUCUUNUAUUGUGUAUCAUGUCGCGAAAUAAGACUGACGCUUCGAGCGUANAUCUCAGCGCUAGUCAUCAUAUGAGGCGUCACGCAAUGACGUGUCAUGCACGCNAUACGUACGUGACUCCUACUUUCUUAUGUAUCGAUAGUGUGUAAUAUGUAUAUGUCUUUAUUGUGCCUAGUUCCUCUCUAAGAUAGAGUAGCAGGAUGCNUCCUGACAGNGUCUGACUAUUUAACUCCUUUAUGCUGUAGUGUAGUGUGUGAGNGAACGGAGUCGCUCUACUCUAGCGAGUGCGCACAUGAGUAGCAGGUGAGUCGCAUGGACUCGGGAUGAUGAGUGUGUCUGUAUACAGUGUCUCAUCUCUCGUUGGUUGCACCCUGUAUGCACUACAUGGACCUCUAUGCACAUCUCNUUACAUCGUGUAGCGUCGAUGCUAGUUGAGAGUGCAGAGUCGUGUUCCUGUCUAUAUGCGUGUCUGGCUAAGUCACUUCGUACCGCGUAUCCUAUACCGGCCUCGCCGUGUAGAUGCCUAGAGGAAGUAGUCCUCUAUCAGGUUGGUUGGUUAAUAUGCGUUUUAUGUCGUCUUUCUGGUGUAAUGGAUGCCGCGGUGUGCGGGAGGGAGUGGGCAGAUUGUCUUCGCCCUACUUGUGAGUUACGUGCUUUCCCGUGGGUGNGAGGCGAGAGNCUCCUCUGGGCGUAAACUUAACGUGUGGCGCUAGACGAGACUCCGCUGUGUGUAUCUAUCGUAGAGUGUGGUGGCGAAGGUGAUGUCCGUUCUCGUGAANAGUCGACCUNGAGGAGUUGUGUAAAUUGUGGUCGUCGUUACAGGUCGUGUCUGGUGUGGUAGUUGGUCUUCGGAGAGGUGGAGGUAGGUGUCUCUGCGCGUCCUCAUCUUCCCCUGUAGUGAUAUGUCCCCUUCUCGUAUAAUCCUGCUAUAGGAACCUAUUGAGCUCUGCGUGAGAUAGUAGAGUCUAACGAGGCGAGAUAGUUCUCCUCGCUUCGUAGACUGUGCAGAAUAGAUCGGCAGUUGAAUAGUUCUCGCUGAGAUGUGUAAAUUAUCUCUUAUUGUGCUACAACUGUCGCUCUCUUUGUGAUCGCUACUUCGCUUAUCCUGACACUCCUUGCAAUACUCACUGUAACAUCUCGUCGAUGAGGGCCACGAGCAGCGGUGUU